UGAUGUAAUACUAUCGGGUUGUAUUCUGU
rnacentral:piRNA from 1 species